UACGUAGGGUCCGAGCGUUGUCCGGAAUUACUGGGCGUAAAGAGCUCGUAGGUGGUUUGUCGCGUUGUUCGUGAAAACUCACAGCUUAACUGUGGGCGUGCGGGCGAUACGGGCAGACUAGAGUACUGCAGGGGAGACUGGAAUUCCUGGUGUAGCGGUGGAAUGCGCAGAUAUCAGGAGGAACACCGGUGGCGAAGGCGGGUCUCUGGGCCGAUACUGACGCUGAGGAGCGAAAGCGUGGGGAGCGAACAGG
rnacentral:rRNA from 1 species